rnacentral:lncRNA from 1 species
GGAUUUGGACUUAGACAUCGAUAGACAUUAAUAUACAUAGCCUUUGGAUUGACACUUUUAUUCUACAAACAACAUCAUACUGGAUUGUGACCGUAAUAUUCAGAUUGGAUUCCGAGAAGAUUUCUGGAUACAGAUAAAGAUAAAAGAUUGGACUCGUAUUUUGACAGUUAAGUUAACAGUAAUAUUUGUGUAAUACUUCUUGUAAACAUUUGUAUAAUAAAUCUUGUUAAAUUUUAUAAUUGAUUUGUGUCUUUUGUUGGCUACAAUUUAAAGGCGAUUUC